AUACGGAGGGGGCUAGCGUUGUUCGGAAUUACUGGGCGUAAAGCGCACGUAGGCGGACUGGAAAGUUGGGGGUGAAAUCCCGGGGCUCAACCCCGGAACUGCCUCCAAAACUUCCAAUCUGGAGAUCGAGAGAGGUGAGUGGAAUUCCAAGUGUAGAGGUGAAAUUCGUAGAUAUUUGGAGGAACACCAGUGGCGAAGGCGGCUCACUGGCUCGAUACUGACGCUGAGGUGCGAAAGCGUGGGGAGCAAACAGGAUUAGAAACCCUAGUAGUCC
rnacentral:rRNA from 1 species